GAUGAACGCUGGCGGCGUGCCUAAUACAUGCAAGUCGAGCGAACAGACGAGGAGCUUGCUCCUCUGACGUUAGCGGCGGACGGGUGAGUAACACGUGGAUAACCUACCUAUAAGACUGGGAUAACUUCGGGACACCGGAGCUAAUACCGGAUAAUAUAUUGAACCGCAUGGUUCAAUAGUGAAAGACGGUUUUGCUGUCACUUAUAGAUGGAUCCGCGCCGCAUUAGCUAGUUGGUAAGUUAACGGCUUACCAAGGCAACGAUGCGUAGCCGACCUGAGAGGGUGAUCGGCCACACUGGAACUGAGACACGGUCCAGACUCCUACGGGAGGCAGCAGUAGGGAAUCUUCCGCAAUGGGCGAAAGCUUGACGGAGCAACGCCGCGUGAGUGAUGAAGGUCUUCGGAUCGUAAAACUCUGUUAUUAGGGAAGAACAAAUGUGUAAGUAACUAUGCACGUCUUGACGGUACCUAAUCAGAAAGCCACGGCUAACUACGUG
rnacentral:rRNA from 1 species